rnacentral:tRNA from 1 species
CGAAAUGUAGCACAAUUGGCAGUGUAUCUGUUUUGGGAAUAGAAGGUUAUGUGUUCAAAUCACAUCAUUUCGA